GACGAACGCUGGCGGCGUGCUUAACACAUGCAAGUCGAACGGAAAGGCCCUGCUUGCAGGGUACUCGAGUGGCGAACGGGUGAGUAACUCGUGGGUGAUCUGCCCUUCACUUCGGGAUAAGCCUGGGAAACUGGGUCUAAUACCGGAUAGGAGCCAUUUUUAGUGUGAUGGUUGGAAAGUUUUUUCGGUGUAGGAUGAGCUCGCGGCCUAUCAGCUUGUUGGUGGGGUAAUGGCCUACCAAGGCGGCGACGGGUAGCCGGCCUGAGAGGGUGGACGGCCACAUUGGGACUGAGAUAAGGCCCAGACUCCUACGGGAGGCAGCAGUGGGGAAUAUUGCACAAUGGGCGCAAGCCUGAUGCAGCGACGCCGCGGGGGGGAUGACGGCCUUCGGGUUGUAAACUACUUUCGCUAGGGACGAAGCUUUUUGUGACGGUACCUAGAUAAGAAGCACCGGCUAACUACGUG
rnacentral:rRNA from 1 species